GCUGGCAGAGGCUGACGAACAAGUUCGUUUAGAGCUGGCGGGGGCGGAUGCUUUCCUCCGCCAGCCAGUAAUUAAGGAGAAAUAAAAUGUCUAACGCAACUUCAACGCAAACAAAUGACCAAUAUUCACUGGCCAAAAUCCUGGGUAUCUGGGCAAUUGUGGCGCUGCCUAUGCUGCUGAUAACGUAUGUCGUUGCCCCAGCCCUGAUUCCACGGGUCAACCUGCAUCCAGGCAUUCUGUUCUGGUUCCUGACGAUUCUCGCUAUGGCCUGGCAGUUUGUCGUGUCAAUGAUCGUGCUGUACCGCGAGCUUGGCACGCUUCGCUGG
rnacentral:rRNA from 1 species